rnacentral:rRNA from 1 species
UACAGGGGGUGCAAACGUUGCUCGGAAUCAUUGGGCGUAAAGCGCACGUAGGCGGUUCGUUAUGUCGGAUGUGAAAGCCCCCGGCUCAACCGGGGAACGACGCAUGAAACUGGCAAGCUAGAGUACCGAAGAGGGGGGUGGAAUUCCCGGUGUAGCGGUGAAAUGCGUAGAUAUCAGGAGGAACACCGGUGGCGAAGGCGGGUCUCUGGGCAGUAACUGACGCUGAGGAGCGAAAGCGUGGGGAGCGAACAGG